CUGCUACUCCCUCUGUUCUAAAUUAGUUGACUUGGAUAUAUUUAGAUACGGAUAUAUCUAACACUAAAACAUGUCUAGAUAUAUCUGUAUUUAGACAAAUCUGAGUCAAUUAAUUUGGAAUGGAGGGAGUACCUC
rfam:Triticum urartu cultivar G1812 contig330047, whole genome shotgun sequence.